rnacentral:rRNA from 1 species
UGCAGUCGAACGCAGUAGCAAUACUGAGUGGCAAACGGGUGAGUAUAAUGUGGGAAUCUGCCUUUUGGUUUGGAAUAACACGGGGAAACUUGUGCUAAUACCGAAUAAGCCUUUACGGGGAAAGUUUUAACGCCGAAAGAUGAGCCUGCACUUGAUUAGCUAGUUGGUAAGGUAAAAGCUUACCAAGGCAACGAUCAAUAGCUGUUCUUAGAGGAAGACCAGCCACAUUGGGACUGAGACACGGCCCAGACUCCUACGGGAGGCAGCAGUGGGGAAUCUUGCACAAUGGGGGAAACCCUGAUGCAGCGAUGCCGCGUGAGUGAAGAAGGCCCUUGGGUUGUAAAACUCUUUCGUCGGGGAAGAAAAUGACUGUACCCGAAUAAGAAGGUCCGGCUAACUUCGUGCCAGCAGCCGCGGUAAUACGAAGGGACCUAGCGUAGUUCGGAAUUACUGGGCUUAAAGAGCUCGUAGGUGGUUAAAAAAGUUGAUGGUGAAAUCCCAAGGCUCAACCUUGGAACUGCCAUCAAAACUUUUUAGCUAGAGUGUGAUAGAGGUAAGUGGAAUUUCUAGUGUAGAGGUGAAAUUCGUAGAUAUUAGAAAGAACACCAAAUGCGAAGGCAACUUACUGGGUCACUACUGACACUGAGGAGCGAAAGCAUGGGUAGCGAAGAGGAUUAGAUACCCUCGUAGUCCAUGCCGUAAACGAUGUGUGCUAGACGUUGGAAAUAUAUUUUUCAGUGUCGCAGCGAAAGCAUUAAGCACACCGCCUGGGGAGUACGACCGCAAGGUUAAAACUCAAAUGAAUUGACGGGGNCCCGCACAAGCAGUGGNNCAUGUGGUUUAAUUCGAGGANACGCGCAGAACCUUACCAACACUUGACNUGUNCGUC